rnacentral:rRNA from 1 species
ACCAUUUAAAGAGUGCGUAAUAGCUCACUGGUCGAGAGACUCUGCGCCGAAAAUGUCCGGGGCUAAAGUGUAAAACCGAAGUCGUGUCAUAUGCAGCAAUGUAUAUGGGUAGGGGAGCGUUCUCAUCGGGCUGAAGCAGUACCGUAAGGAGUUGUGGACUGAUGAGAAGUGAGAAUGUCGGUAUGAGUAGCGAAAAGAAUGGUGAGAAUCCAUUCCACCGAAAGCCUAAGGGUUCCUGAGCAACGAUCGUCGUCUCAGGGUAAGUCGGGACCUAAGCCGAGGCGGAAUAGCGUAGGCGAUGGACAACAGGUUGAAAUUCCUGUACCGGUGUGAAUCGUUUGAUCGAUGGAGUGACACAGUAAGGUAGGUCAGCACGCGAUUGGAAGAGCGUGUUUAAGCAGGUAGGUUGAGCUAUAGGCAAAUCCGUAGCUCUAAAAGCUGAGAUGUGAUGACGAGCGACUAGCAAUAGUCGCGAAGUGAUUGAUCCUACACUGUCGAGAAAAGCUUCUAGGUAGAGACACAUCGCCCGUACCAAAACCGACACAGGUAGGCAGGGAGAGAAUCCUAAGGUGCGCGGGAAAACCCUCGUUAAGGAACUCGGCAAAAUGCCUCCGUAACUUCGGGAAAAGGAGGACUCAUGUAGUGUGAAGAGCAGAAACGCUUGGAGCAUGAAUGAGUGGCACAAGAGAGGCGCAAGCGACUGUUUACCACAAACACAGGUGCCUGCUAAAGCGAAAGCUGAUGUAUAGGUGCUGACACCUGCCCGGUGCUGGAAGGUUAAGAGGAGGGGUUAGACUUCGGUCGAAGCUCUGAAUUGAAGCCCCAGUAAACGGCGGCCGUAACUAUAACGGUCCUAAGGUAGCGAAAUUCCUUGUCGGGUAAGUUCCGACCCGCACGAAAGGUGUAACGACUUGCGCACUGUCUCAACGAGGGACCCGGUGAAAUUGAAGUACCUGUGAAGAUGCAGGUUACCCGCGACUGGACAGAAAGACCCCAUGGAGCUUUACUGCAACCUAAGAUUGAACUUAGUUAAUGAAUGUACAGGAUAGGUGGGAGACGUAGAACCUAGGACGCCAGUUUUAGGGGAGUCGCUGUUGGGAUACCACCCUUUCAUUAAUUGAUUUCUAACGGGCCGAGUAACGACCGGCCGGACAGUCUUAGGCGGGCAGUUUGACUGGGGCGGUCGCCUCCAAAAGAGUAACGGAGGCGCCCAAAGGUUCCCUCAGAGCGGACGGAAAUCGCUCGAAGAGUGUAAAGGCAGAAGGGAGCUUGACUGCGAGACGGACAGGUCGAGCAGGGACGAAAGUCGGGCUUAGUGAUCCGGUGGUGCCGAGUGGAAGGGCCAUCGCUCAACGGAUAAAAGCUACCCUGGGGAUAACAGGCUAAUCUCUCCCAAGAGUCCAUAUCGACGGGGAGGUUUGGCACCUCGAUGUCGGCUCAUCACAUCCUGGGGCUGAAGUAGGUCCCAAGGGUUCGGCUGUUCGCCGAUUAAAGUGGUACGUGAGCUGGGUUCAGAACGUCGUGAGACAGUUCGGUCCCUAUCCAUCGCGGGCGUAAGAAACUUGAAGGGGGCUGCUCCUAGUACGAGAGGACCGGAGUGGACGAACCGCUGGUGUACCAAUUAUCCUGCCAAGGGUACAGUUGGGUAGCUACGUUCGGGACGGAUAAACGCUGAAAGCAUCUAAGCGUGAAACCAGCCUUGAGAUGAGGUUUCU